CCCACAGCAGCUUCAUGGGGUAGGUAUUUCGAUGAGCUGCAGUUUACAGAUUAGAAAACAAGCACAGAAGGGACACUUUCCUAAGGACACACAAAGGCAUAGCCACAGUGAUAACCCCGUCUGACCCCAGCGUCUCAUUCCUACUCGCUACUCUAUGUUCUUGGUUUUAAUCACAUAACACACGACUGCAAUAAUCUGUAACCCAGGAAUCCUAAACUUGUGUAGAUGUUUUUAAACAAUAAAGGUGAAAGUCAAAAGAAAGGGGAUUCUCAUUUUUCUCCUUGCUCCUCCCCACCCCAGCUUUGCGGCAAGAGGCUCACCAGGACAGGCUCCAGGAAGACGAACCUCAUGACUCCACCACCAACACGGGGGACUACUUCUGGCACUUUCCAGCAUCCUGGACUUUUGUUAACGUGGGGGAAAAGAUUGCAGAUGUUCACCCGGAGCUGAACCUUCAGUAUCUGUGCAUUCAGAAAUGAUCCUGUGUCUAAAGCUGGAAAAUAAACCCUGUGCUCUUCAAUGACUUCACUAAUCCCAGCAGUGUCCACAUGACACGUAUGAAAGUCCCGGAACAGACAGGAGCAUGCUGUGAGUGCCUAUGGUUGCUGGAGUGGCCUGCAGAGCUGGAUGGCAGAGAGCAGGUGAACAGAUACCCUCCAAAGAGAAGCAAAACUGAGACAGUAAGGACCCAGCCCCAGGGGUCAGGGGAUGUAGCCAGUGGAGCGUGAGAUCCAGGCCAGACAAAAGAGCCAAGACACUCUCUGACUUCCCAGGCUCUACUGGGCAGCCCAGUCAGUAGGGAUGCACUGGUACCUGGCUUCUAGCUGGUCUCUAGAC